AGGGAAUCUUCGGCAAUGGGCGAAAGCCUGACCGAGCAACGCCGCGUGAAUGAUGAAGGCCUUCGGGUUGUAAAAUUCUGUUAUAAGGGAAGAACGACUUUAGUAGGAAAUGGCUAGAGUGUGACGGUACCUUAUGAGAAAGCCACGGCUAACUACGUGCCAGCAGCCGCGGUAAUACGUAGGUGGCGAGCGUUAUCCGGAAUUAUUGGGCGUAAAGCGCGCGCAGGUGGUUUCUUAAGUCUGAUGUGAAAGCCCACGGCUCAACCGUGGAGGGUCAUUGGAAACUGGGAGACUUGAGUGCAGAAGAGGAUAGUGGAAUUCCAAGUGUAGCGGUGAAAUGCGUAGAGAUUUGGAGGAACACCAGUGGCGAAGGCGACUUUCUGGUCUGCAACUGACGCUGAGGCGCGAAAGCAUGGGGAGCAAACA
rnacentral:rRNA from 1 species